AAUAACCUCAGAUUUUUAUUUCCCCCAAAUCAAACCUACAAUCCCUAAAUUCUAACACCAGAAAAAUCCGUUAGCUUGCUCUCUCUCUCUGCGAUCAAGGCAAACCUCUCCACUGCAGCAAUUGUCAUCAGGAAAGAGGCUAUUUCGGCUCCUAAGCUUCGAUUUCGAAAAGGCUACCAAAUUUUAGUAGAAGAUGGAUGAGUAUCAGGAGAGGGAGAGGUUUGGCAUGGAUAAUGAUUAUGAGGAUGGCCAGUGGAUUGGUGGCGAGUUUUAUGGCAAGCGCAGACAGAAACGUGCGCAGACGAAAGACGAUGUUCUUUACGGCGUGUUUGCCUCUGGUGACAGUGACUCCGACGAGGGGUUUGGGUCGAAGAGCAAGCGCAGGAAGGAUUCGUCGAAGAAGGCGGAUUAUUCCAAGCCAGUCAGUUUUGUUUCGACUGGCACGGUUAUGCCCAGUCAGGAGAUUGAACAUAAUUCCAAGGAGGAUAUUGAUGUAAUGGAUGAGGAUGAUGUCAAACCUGCUGGUUUAGGCCUUGGGUUUGGUUCUGCUUCUUCGAGAAAGGCAAAUGAAGACAAGGAAGAAGAUGAUGACUUCUUGCCUACUGCCUUUGGUAAGAUUAUCAGGGAAGGUGCGAAGUUGCGGGAAGAGAAGGAAAAGGAGAAGGCUAGGGCAGCCAAAAAAACAUCUCAAGCUAGCAAGAGGGACUUGGACCCGAAUGGUGUUGGUGAAUUUGAGAAACAUACCAAGGGUAUUGGAAUGAAGUUGCUAGAGAAGAUGGGCUACAAGGGUGGCGGUCUUGGUAAAAACGAGCAGGGAAUUACGGCUCCUAUUGAGGCCAAGCUUCGGCCUAAGAAUAUGGGAAUGGGUUUUAAUGACUAUAAAGAAGCCGUUCGUCCAGCAAUACAGGAAGUAGAUGAAAAAUCUGUUCCACAUCCCAGCCAUUCUCUAGAAGGUCGCACUAAUGAGAAGCUUUGGUCGAAGAAAGUUUCUAAGAAGAAGGCUUAUAUAACAGCAGCAGAACUGUUGGCCCAGAAGGAGGAGAAAGGUUUCGAAGUUGUUCAGAAGGUUUUUGACAUGAGGGGGCCACAGGUUCGGGUUCUGACAAAUUUGGAAAACUUGAAUGCAGAAGAAAUGGCCAGAGAAAAUGAUGUACCGAUGCCCGAGCUUCAGCAUAAUAUCAAAUUGAUAGUUGAUAUAAUUGAGCAUGACAUUCAGAAACUUGAUAGUAAUCUGAGGAACGAAAGGGAGACUGUGGUUGCUUUACAGAAGGAAAAGGAGAAGCUGCAACAGGAGGCUCAUGACCAGAAACAGCGGCUUGGAAACAUGGAGGAGAUAAUAGCUGUAUUGGAUCAAUUGGGUGAGAAGAGCUCUUCAGGAUUGUUAACUCUAGAAUCACUUGCUAAUUCAUUUGUAGACUUGCAGACAAGAUUUCCCGAUGAAUACACAUUGUGCAACUUAUCUUGCAUUGCGUGCUCGCACGCUCGGCCUCUAUUUAUUAGAAUAUUUCAGGGAUGGGACCCACUUCAGAAUCCAACUCAUGGAACUGAGGUUGUAUCACUGUGGAAGAAACUGUUACAAGGUAAAGAUUCUUUGAAUUUCUCUGGUACAGCUUCUCCAUACGUGCAGCUUCUUAUGGAAGUUGUAUUUCCUGCCGUAAGAAUAUCUGGGACCAACUCUUGGCAAGCAAGGGAUGCAGAGCCCAUGCUUAGGUAUUUGGAUUCUUGGGAAGAACUCUUGCCUCCUUCUAUCCUACAGGCCAUACUCGACAUGGUUGUUAUGUCAAAAAUAUCAGCUGCUGUAGACUCUUGGGAUCCACGUAGAGAAACUAUUCCGAUCCAUGAAUGGAUCCACCCUUGGUUACCAUUGUUGGGGCACAAGUUUGAGAGUUUCUAUCACACAAUUCGCCAUAGAUUUGCCAGUGUUCUUCAUGCUUGGCAUCCAAGUGAUGGAUCAGCUUUUGCCAUAUUGUCUCCUUGGAAAACUGUCUUCGAACCUGCCAGUUGGGAGCACUUAAUGGUUCAGCACAUCAUUCCAAAACUAUCGACUGUCAUGCAUGAAUUCCAAAUAAAUCCAGCUAAUCAGAGUCUCGAUCAAUUUAAUUGUGUCGUAAAAUGGGCGUCUGCUAUUCCUACUCAUCACAUGCUGCAGUUAAUGGAUGUUUUCUUUAAUAAGUGGCAAGAAGUGCUUUAUCAUUGGUUGUGUUCGAAACCAAAUUUUGACGAAGUGACCCAGUGGUAUCUCAACUGGAAAGAGCUCCUUCCUCAAGAACUUCAGGCAAAUGAGCAUAUCCGGUAUAGGCUUAAUCUUGGUUUGGCCAUGAUGAACCAGGCGGUUGAAGGCAUGGAGGUGGCUCCGCCUGGAUUGAAAGAGAAUAUUAGCUAUCUCAGGGUGCGCGAGCAAAGGCAGUUUGAAACUCAGAAAAAAGCCGCUGCGCAAGCUCAACAUAGGACCAUGCCAGGUUUGGAUAAUGAAAUUCCAGCAGAGGGCAUUAGUGGUGGAAACAAGAUGAGCUUGAAAGAAGUUAUUGAAAUCUAUGCUCAGCAAAAUGGUUUGCUGUUCAAGCCCAAACCUGGUAGAAUGCAAGAUGGGCAUCAAAUAUAUGCAUUUGGUAAUAUAAGCAUAAUCGUAGAUUCCCUCAACCAAAAGGUGUUUGCCCAGACCGAGGACAGGUGGCCCCUUGUAUCACUUGAGCAGCUGCUGGAAUUGCAAAGUCGUUCUAAGAUGAAGCGAUAAUGAGCUUCAGAAACUCCUUAAAAGUAUUAAACUGCACGAUUCUCUUCACAAUUCUGUUGUGUCUGGUGAAGCUUGGCCUCUAGAUGUUGUCAUUACCAUUUGAGUAAAAGGUGUUUCUCAUGGACCCGGUAUAAAAAAAUGACCCGCUGCUUUCAUAUGAUAUCUAACCAGCCUUGCUACGAAGGACGAGGUAUAGUGAGUGGAGAUUAUAUCAUUUGGCUUGAAAACAUUUUUCUUUCCCCUUUAGCCUCUCGAUCUCCGAGGUGAGCAAGGACUGACCCCCCUCAAUAAGCUUGAUUGAACCAGAUGCCGAUGCCGACCUGGUGAAAACUGGCGACAACGCGGAUUACAGGUUUGGUGCCCUAAAUAAAAACGAUGCAUUUGGUAUGCAUAAACCUUUGAUUUGUGUAAGAAUGGAAUUUAAUUGGUGUUCAUCCUACUCGCUCCGUCAUCUACAAAAGUUGAGCCCCGUAUAAUUAAAAUAGCUAGUUAGGGUUAUUUGAUGGGCGAACAACAGUAUUAUUUUCCAAACAGCCCAAGUAAAUUAAUUUUGGUUUGUCGUUGCAUGUGGAUGGCUAUGGUUCAGUAGACGUCUUAAAAAUUAUCAAUGAUCGCUUUAGGUGAUUGUUGUCUGAUUUUUGUGUGCAAAUUUGGUUGUUUCUCUGCUCUGUGAGUAGAUGGAAGUUGACUAUUUGAUCAUGUGCUUUAUAGUUAUUCAUGUACAUUAUCAAUGAUUUUCAUCUAGGAAUAAGUACAUGAGAAAAAAUUGUUUAUGUAUGAGAUAUUGUUUUUAUGAGUUCUUGCUGAAAAAUGUCUGCUCUUUUAGUCAUCGAUAAGAAAUACAGGACUAGUUGGCAAUUUGAUGGAUUGUGUUGACGAAUCAGAUGGGGUCACUAUUUAUUUGUGGGUAUGGUGACUUUUAUCGUCUUCUACCGUGAGUUUUGUUUCGAGCGUGGGCGGUCUCAUGCCUUUUUUUGAUGAAAUUCAUAUUUACCCUGCUUUUUGCGCUUUGAGAUAAUGGGCAUUUUUCAGAUCAGUUUAGCUGUCAUAUGCAGCCGAUUGUUGUGCAUUAUCCCUUAUUUUUGGCUGUGCCAUGUUGAUUUUGGGCAUUGUUUCAGAUUAGUUGGAUUUUGUUUUGUGUGUAGUCUCAUUUACGAAAAAAGGAAGGAGACGGAGGAGAUGGUCAUGCUGGUGACUUAUGUUGUUGCUCGGUCUGACCUGUUUGGUGCGUGAGAGAAGGGACUAUAUGCGGCAGAGAAUGGGACGCUGCUAGUGAGGUAUGAGCUGAUGUUGAGGAUCCCCGAGGCCACAUGUACAUGAUUGUUGGACUAACUGGCAGGGAUUGCGUGAACAACAUCCGGAUGGAUUGCAACUCCUUCGGAUAUCUUAGGGGAGCGCAGCGCAGCGCAGCGCGCUCAAUAAUGGAAGCUAACAAUGGCCAGCCCUCUUAAAAUGGCACUAGAAUCUAAUCAAACAAGAAAGACUUAGAAAAUACACUAUCUCUAAUUAUAUGAAAAUCUCAUUUUCACGAGUUU